rnacentral:rRNA from 1 species
ACACUCCUACGGGAGGCAGCAGUGGGGAAUAUUGGACAAUGGGCGCAAGCCUGAUCCAGCCAUGCCGCGUGAGUGAUGAAGGCCCUAGGGUUGUAAAGCUCUUUCACCGGUGAAGAUAAUGACGGUAACCGGAGAAGAAGCCCCGGCUAACUUCGUGCCAGCAGCCGCGGUAAUACGAAGGGGGCUAGCGUUGUUCGGAUUUACUGGGCGUAAAGCGCACGUAGGCGGACUAUUAAGUCAGGGGUGAAAUCCCGGGGCUCAACCCCGGAACUGCCUUUGAUACUGGUAGUCUUGAGUUCGAGAGAGGUGAGUGGAAUUCCGAGUGUAGAGGUGAAAUUCGUAGAUAUUCGGAGGAACACCAGUGGCGAAGGCGGCUCACUGGCUCGAUACUGACGCUGAGGUGCGAAAGCGGGGGGAGCAAACAGGAUUAGAAACCCCGGUAGUCCCA